AUUGGGACCGGAGAAAUUUUCGCAGGAUAUCAGCAUAGGUUAUUACUCUUGAUGGUGCCAGAUUCGUGAUCAGGAAUCACGACUGACUCACGUAUGAUUGUCGCACGAGGCCGCAGCAUUGCCAAUUUGACGGUGAUAAAGGUUGAGCUAGAAGGAUAACACUUAUGCGAAACGGAUGAUGAGCGCAGAGCAGAUCCUUCUU
rnacentral:lncRNA from 1 species